rnacentral:rRNA from 1 species
UGGGGAAUAUUGCACAAUGGGCGCAAGCCUGAUGCAGCCAUGCCGCGUGUGUGAAGAAGGCCUUCGGGUUGUAAAGCACUUUCAGCGGGGAGGAAGGCGAUAAGGUUAAUAACCUUGUCGAUUGACGUUACCCGCAGAAGAAGCACCGGCUAACUCCGUGCCAGCAGCCGCGGUAAUACGGAGGGUGCAAGCGUUAAUCGGAAUUACUGGGCGUAAAGCGCACGCAGGCGGUCUGUCAAGUCGGAUGUGAAAUCCCCGGGCUCAACCUGGGAACUGCAUUCGAAACUGGCAGGCUAGAGUCUUGUAGAGGGGGGUAGAAUUCCAGGUGUAGCGGUGAAAGGCGUAGAGAUCUGGAGGAAUACCGGUGGCGAAGGCGGCCCCCUGGACAAAGACUGACGCUCAGGUGCGAAAGCGUGGGGAGCAAACAGG